rnacentral:misc_RNA from 1 species
AGUCCAUCUCUCCCUCUUUCUGAUGGCAAAAUCCUCCAGUUUUAAAGUUCUUGAGCACUGCAAAGUUUCUCCACCACCCAAUUCAGCUCCACCAACUACUCUCCCUUUAACUUUCUUGGACAUACCUUGGCUUUUCUUCUCUCCAAGCCAACCUCUCUUCUUCUAUGAGUACCAUCAUUCCACCUCUCACUUUCUUUCCUCCAUUCUCCCCAACCUCAAGCACUCUCUUUCCCUUGCUCUCAAGCAUUUCUUCCCUUUUCUUGGAAAUCUUGUUCUUUACUCUUAUGAUUGUAAUUAUAAGCCCAAGAUUGUUUACAGUGCAGGGGACUCUGUCUCAUUUUCUGUUGCAGAGUCUAGUGGUGAUUUCAGGAACUUUACUAGUAAUCACGCAAGAGAUGUGCAUGAGUUUUACCCUCUUGUGCCUGAGUUGGCUACUAGUUGUGUAGCAACUGGGAAAGAAGGAUUUAUUCCUUUACUUGCAGUGAGAGUUACCAUUUUUCCUCAUAUGGGUAUUUGCAUUGGGUUUUCAUUUCACCAUGUGGCAGCUGAUGGGAGAACAUUCAACAAUUUCAUCAAGGAAUGGGCUUCACUAUCUGCAAAUUCUUGUUUCUUAAUCAAUUCUUUUCCAUCUUUUGAUAGGUCUGUGAUAAAAGAUCCAUAUGGGCUUGAGGAGAUUUUCU